rnacentral:rRNA from 1 species
CCUACGGGAGGCUGCAGUGGGGAAUAUUGGGCAAUGGGCGCAAGCCUGACCCAGCAACGCCGCGUGAAGGAAGAAGGCUUUCGGGUUGUAAACUUCUUUUCUGAGGGACGAAGAAAGUGACGGUACCCCAGGAAUAAGCCACGGCUAACCACGUGCCAGCAGCCGCGGUAAUACGUAGGUGGCAAGCGUUAUCCGGAUGUAUUGGGUGUAAAGGGCGUGUAGGCGGGAAAGCAAGUCAGAUGUGAAAACUCAGGGCUCAACCCUGAGCCUGCAUUUGAACCUGUUUUUCUUGAGUGCGGGAGAGGCAAUCGGAAUUCCGUGUGUAGCGGUGAAAUGCGUAGAUAUACGGAGGAACACUAGUGGCGAAGGCGGAUUGCUGGACAGUAACUGACGCUGAGGCGCGAAAGCGUGGGGAGCAAACAGGAUUAGAUACCCGUGUAGUC